GCACUGCUGAGGAGUCCCACAAUAGGACGAAACGUUCGUCCAUUGC
rnacentral:hammerhead_ribozyme from 1 species